GAAAUCGGCGCUAAUACCUCAUAAUGCAGCGGAUCCGCAUGGAUAUGUUGUUAAAGGUUUACCGCCUUUGGGAUAGGCUUGCGUCUGAUUAGUUAGUUGGUGUGGUAACGGCACACCAAGGCUACGAUCAGUAACUGGUCCUGAGAGGAUGAUCAGUCACACUGGAACUGAGACACGGUCCAGACUCCUACGGGAGGCGGCAGUGAGGAAUAUUGGGCAAUGCUCGAAAGAGUGACCCAGCAACGCCGCGUGGAGGAUGAAGGUAUUCUAUACCGUAAACUCCUGUGAGAGCAGACGAAAGACAGAUUAUUAAUCUGGAUGACUGUAUGCUCAGAGGAAGCCCCGGCUAACUACGUG
rnacentral:rRNA from 1 species